UACGGAGGAUCCAAGCGUUAUCCGGAUUUAUUGGGUUUAAAGGGUGCGUAGGCGGCCUAUUAAGUCAGGGGUGAAAGACGGUAGCUUAACUAUCGCAGUGCCUUUGAUACUGAUGGGCUUGAAUGUACUUGGAGGUAGCGGAAUGUGACAAGUAGCGGUGAAAUGCAUAGAUAUGUCACAGAACACCAAUUGCGAAGGCAGCUUACUAAAGUAUGAUUGACGCUGAGGCACGAAAGCCAGGGGAGCAAACGGG
rnacentral:rRNA from 1 species